rnacentral:pre_miRNA from 1 species
AAAAAGACAAACCCUGGGUUUCCGUGCCAACGUUUGACUGUCCGUCUUAUAUGAAAUUUUUUUAUAAUUAGUAUUUUCAUUGUUGUUAGAUGAUAAAACAUGAUAAUACUUUAUGCGUGACUUAUCUUUUUAAUUUUUUUCAUAAUUUUUUCAAAUAAGACGGACGGUCAAACAUUGGACACGGAAACCAGGGUUUGUCUUUUU